UUGUACCCUUUCAUUGUUAAGAAAUAAAUCACAUCUUAUGUGCUAUACAGAUAGUUGAAGGUUAAUUAGCAGUAUAACUAUAAAUAGUAAUGCUGCCAGUCUCCUUCAGACAAGA
ensembl:snoRNA